UCCCGCAGCCAUAUCACCCUGCAACUCACAACUGGCAACCCACUUAAGAUAAGCAGGCGUGAGCCCGGUCAGUACCUGGAUGGGAGACCUCCUGGGAAAAACUAAGGUUGCUGCUGGAA
rnacentral:rRNA from 1 species